rnacentral:rRNA from 1 species
GACGAACGCUGGCGGCGUGCCUAAUACAUGCAAGUAGAACGCUGAAGGAGGAGCUUGCUUCUCUGGAUGAGUUGCGAACGGGUGAGUAACGCGUAGGUAACCUGCCUGGUAGCGGGGGAUAACUAUUGGAAACGAUAGCUAAUACCGCAUAAUAGUAAAUGUUGCAUGACAUUUGCUUACAAGGUGCAAUUGCAUCACUAACAGAAGGACCUGCGUUGUAUUAGCUCGUUGGUGGGGUAACGGCUCGCCAAGGCGACGAUACAUAGGCGACCCGAGGGGGUGAUCGGCCACUCGGGCACUGAGACACGGCCCCGACUCCUACCGGAGGCAGCUGUAGGGAUUCUUCGGCAAUGGGCGGAAGGCUGACCUCGCAACGCCGCGUGAGUGUAGAAGGUUUUCGGAUCGUAAAGCUCUGUUGUCAGAGAAGAGCGAGUGUCAGAGUGGAAAGUUCACACUGUGACGGUAUCUUACCAGAAAGCGACGGCUAACUACGUG